UUUAGCUCUAUCUUCCAAAGUAUUGGCAAUCCCCCCAGCUUUGCGUCAUCUGCAGACUUGAUCAGUAUGCUCUCUAUAUCUACAUCCAUGUGAAUAAUGAAGAUGU